CAAGAGCGUAUGUAAAAGUUGUUGCAGUUAAAAAGCUCGUAGUUGAGCCUUGGGUUUGGUUGGCCGGUCCGCUUUUUUGCGAGUACUGGAUUCAACCGAGCCUUUCCUUCUGGCUAACCAGUCGUUUCGGCGGCUGGCGAACCAGGAUUUUUACUUUGAGAAAAUUAGAGUGUUCAAAGCAGGCAUUAGCUUGAAUAUAUUAGCAUGGAAUAAUAGAAUAGGACGUUAUGGUUCUAUUUUGUUGGUUUCUAGGACCAUCGUAAUGAUUAAUAGGGACGGUCGGGGGCAUCAGUAUUCAGUUGUCAGAGGUGAAAUUCUUGGAUUUACUGAAGACUAACUACUGCGAAAGCAUUUGCCAAGGACGUUUUCAUUAA
rnacentral:rRNA from 1 species